GUUAAAAGAAUAGGAGAAGAGGGGAUACAGCCCACUGCAGAGGGACAAUAUAACCUAGUUAAAAGAAUAGGAGACGAGGUGAUACAGCCCACUGCAGAGGGACAAUAUAACCUAGUUAAAAGAAUAGGAGAAGAGGUGAUACAGCCCACUGCAGAGGGACAAUAUAACCUAGUUAAAAGAAUAGAAGAGGUGAUACAGCCCACUGCAGAGGGACAAUAUAACCUAGUUAAAAGAAUAGGAGACGAGGGGAUACAGCCCACUGCAGAGGGACAAUAUAACCUAGUUAAAAGAAUAGGAGAAGAGGUGAUACAGCCCACUGCAGAGGGACAAUAUAACCUAGUUAAAAGAAUAGAAGAGGUGAUACAGCCCACUGCAGAGGGACAAUAUAACCUAGUUAAAAGAAUAGGAGACGAGGGGAUACAGCCCACUGCAGAGGGACAAUAUAACCUAGUUAAAAGAAUAGGAGACGAGGUGAUACAGCCCACUGCAGAGGGACAAUAUAACCUAGUUAAAAGAAUAGGAGACGAGGGGAUACAGCCCACUGCAGAGGGACAAUAUAACCUAGUUAAAAGAAUAGGAGACGAGGUGAUACAGCCCACUGCAGAGGGACAAUAUAACCUAGUUAAAAGAAUAGGAGACGAGGUGAUACAGCCCACUGCAGAGGGACAAUAUAACCUAGUUAAAAGAAUAGGAGAAGAGGUAAAACAGCCCACUGCAGAGGGACAAUAUAACCUAGUUAAAAGAAUAGGAGAAGAGGU